rnacentral:lncRNA from 1 species
GAGGAAGGGAAGGGAAAGGCAAUUUAUAGAAUUUUAAAAAUGUUGAAUUCACGCCAAGUGGCAAAAUCUGGUGAAGAGAAAGGAGAAAAAUAUUUUUGGCACGAAAAAUGGAGGAGGAAAAUUUCCUCCACAAGCGACGGUGGUGCACUGCCUGAGGUGGCAGUGCCUGACCAUCACGCUGCAUGUGCACAAGCCUGCUAUUGUGCAC